rnacentral:rRNA from 1 species
CGCGUAGGCGGAUGGACCAGUCAGAGGUGAAAGCCCUGGGCUCAACCCGGGAACUGCCUUUGAAACUGUUCGUCUUGAGUAUGGGAGAGGAUGGCGGAAUACCCAGUGUAGAGGUGAAAUUCGUAGAUAUUGGGUAGAACACCAGUGGCGAAGGCGGCCAUCUGGCCCAUAACUGACGCUGAGGCGCGAAAGCGUGGGGAGCAAACA